rnacentral:rRNA from 1 species
AGAGUUUGAUCCUGGCUCAGGAUGAACGCUAGCGGCAGGCCUAACACAUGCAAGUCGAGGGGCAGCGGGGGACUUCGGUUCCGCCGGCGACCGGCGCACGGGUGAGUAACGCGUAUACAAUCUGCCCGCAACAGGGGAACAGCCCGGGGAAACUCGGAUUAAUGCCCCAUAACAUUCACGGAAGGCAUCUUCUGUGUCUUAAACCUUCGGGGGUUGCGGAUGAGUAUGCGUGCCAUUAGUUAGUUGGCGGGGUAACGGCCCACCAAGACAAUGAUGGCUACGGGGUCUUAAAGGAUGGUCCCGCACACUGGUACUGAGACACGGACCAGACUCCUACGGGAGGCAGCAGUGAGGAAUAUUGGUCAAUGGGGGCAACCCUGAACCAGCCAUGCCGCGUGGAGGAAGAAAGCCCUACGGGUUGUAAACUCCUUUUUUACGGGAAGAAACCGCUCCGUUUUGGGGGCGCUGACGGUACCGUGCGAAUAAGGAUCGGCUAACUCCGUGCCAGCAGCCGCGGUAAUACGGAGGAUCCAAGCGUUAUCCGGAUUUAUUAGGUUUAAAGGGUGCGCAGGCGGGAAGGUAAGUCAGCGGUGAAAUCCCGGAGCUCAACUCCGGAACUGCCGUUGAUACUGCUUUUCUUGAGUGCGGUUGAGGUAGGCGGAAUGUGCAGUGUAGCGGUGAAAUGCUUAGAUAUUGCACAGAACACCGAUUGCGAAGGCAGCCUGCUGAGCCGUAACUGACGCUGAGGCACGAAAGCGCGGGGAGCGAACAGGAUUAGAUACCCUGGUAGUCCGCGCCGUAAACGAUGAUUACUCGUUGUGCGCGAUAUACAGUGCGUGACUGAGCGAAAGCAUUAAGUAAUCCACCUGGGGAGUACGUCGGCAACGAUGAAACUCAAAGGAAUUGACGGGGGCCCGCACAAGCGGAGGAACAUGUGGUUUAAUUCGAUGAUACGCGAGGAACCUUACCCGGGCUUAAAUGGAGCGUCCCUUCGGGGAUCGUCCGCGAAAGCGGCUUAGAGCUUCAAGGUGCUGCAUGGCUGUCGUCAGCUCGUGCCGUGAGGUGUCGGGUUAAGUCCCAUAACGAGCGCAACCCCUAUCGUUAGUUGCCAGCGGGUAAUGCCGGGGACUCUAACGAGACUGCCGUCGCAAGGCGUGAGGAAGGUGGGGAUGACGUCAAGUCAGCACGGCCCUUAUGUCCGGGGCUACACACGUGUUACAAUGGCCGGUACAGAGAGCCGCCACCCGGUGACGGGGAGCCAAUCUUAAAAACCGGUCUUAGUUCGGAUCGGAGUCUGCAACUCGACUCCGUGAAGCUGGAUUCGCUAGUAAUCGCAGAUCAGCAACGCUGCGGUGAAUACGUUCCCGGGCCUUGUACACACCGCCCGUCAAGCCAUGGAAGCCGGGAGUGCCUGAAGUCUGCAACCGCAAGGAGCGGCCUAGGGUAAAACUGGUAACUGGGGCUAAGUCGUAACAAGGUAGCCG